AGUGGGGCAGCUACCAUGCAGUCGAGCGGUAGCACAGAGAGCUUGCUCUCGGGUGACGAGCGGCGGACGGGUGAGUAAUGUCUGGGAAACUGCCUGAUGGAGGGGGAUAACUACUGGAAACGGUAGCUAAUACCGCAUAACGUCGCAAGACCAAAGUGGGGGACCUUCGGGCCUCAUGCCAUCAGAUGUGCCCAGAUGGGAUUAGCUAGUAGGUGGGGUAACGGCUCACCUAGGCGACGAUCCCUAGCUGGUCUGAGAGGAUGACCAGCCACACUGGAACUGAGACACGGUCCAGACUCCUACGGGAGGCAGCAGUGGGGAAUAUUGCACAAUGGGCGCAAGCCUGAUGCAGCCAUGCCGCGUGUGUGAAGAAGGCCUUCGGGUUGUAAAGCACUUUCAGCGGGGAGGAAGGCGUUAAGGUUAAUAACCUUGUCGAUUGACGUUACCCGCAGAAGAAGCACCGGCUAACUCCGUGCCAGCAGCCGCGGUAAUACGGAGGGUGCAAGCGUUAAUCGGAAUUACUGGGCGUAAAGCGCACGCAGGCGGUCUGUCAAGUCGGAUGUGAAAUCCCCGGGCUCAACCUGGGAACUGCAUUCGAAACUGGCAGGCUAGAGUCUUGUAGAGGGGGGUAGAAUUCCAGGUGUAGCGGUGAAAUGCGUAGAGAUCUGGAGGAAUACCGGUGGCGAAGGCGGCCCCCUGGACAAAGACUGACGCUCAGGUGCGAAAGCGUGGGGAGCAAACAGGAUUAGAUACCCUGGUAGUCCACGCCGUAAACGAUGUCGAUUUGGAGGUUGUGCCCUUGAGGCGUGGCUUCCGGAGCUAACGCGUUAAAUCGACCGCCUGGGGAGUACGGCCGCAAGGUUAAAACUCAAAUGAAUUGACGGGGGCCCGCACAAGCGGUGGAGCAUGUGGUUUAAUUCGAUGCAACGCGAAGAACCUUACCUGGUCUUGACAUCCACAGAACUUUCCAGAGAUGCAUUGGUGCCUUCGGGAACUGUGAGACAGGUGCUGCAUGGCUGUCGUCA
rnacentral:rRNA from 1 species